UGAAUGACAAAGCUCUGCAACGGGGUAGAAUCCGAAACCUCUUGAAGGUCACACAGGCUCUCCUACUCAACACCUAUUCCGUAAAGUCCUCGUCGUGCAGAGCUUUGAUAGUGUGUGUUUUCCAAACGGCUACGCACUCGUCAGAUGUGCGGG
rnacentral:ribozyme from 1 species